AUGGGCAGCGGCAGCAGCCGGCGGCGGGGGCCCGUGGGCAGAGCGGGGCAGAGCCGGGACCCGCCGGGGACCGCGCCGGCCGACGGCGAGGGGGCGGCGGCACCGCCCGGCCCCGGCUACCGAGCCCCGGCCGCCGGCGGCAGCGCCGAGCCCCGGAGCGGCGGGAGCGGCGCGGAGGCGGCGGGAGGCGGCGGCGGGGCCCCGCUCCAGCAGGCGGCUUUGUUGCCCAGAAGCCCACCAAGCCCAGAGAACAACAACCUUGACCACCAGUGCCCAGAAGGCAGCAAGAAGCCGCUGGGGCAGCCCACGAUCCUGUACGAUUACUCGGAGGAGGAGCUGAUGGCCAGCAUCGAGCGGGAGUACUGCCGCUGAGCCCCAGGGAACGGCAGGCACAGCCCGGGGCCAGCCUGAGCACAGCUCCUGUGGCACCACAGCUGCACGGCACAGGGGCCUUGCAGGGGACUGGAGCAUCGGGGGCUGCUUGGGAAGCACUGAGGAGGAAGUUCCCCUGAUCAGCUCCCAGGGAGAGCAGGAAGAUCCUCACCAGCUGCUGAUUUCUGAUUGGUGCCCCUGCAAGAGGGACCAAUUCAUCUUAAAAAUCAAUAUUUAGAAGCUCAUUUCUAAAUGCUGUUUUUAAAGGAACAUGUACUAGAAUUAAUGUCCUGCUAGAGGUGUUGAAAUGUGGUGCUUUGAAGGGAGAUCCUGCUUUGAACCUAGUAAAAAAUUGCAGCAAUAUAAUCUGAUCCAGAACUUAAGGAGAUGUUGAAGGAAAUUCAUGUUUCUGCCACUUAAAAUGUGCCAAAUUGCACUUGUGCAAGCCUCACGUUCGGGUCUGAGUUUGGUACUGUCUCUUUCAAUCUGGUCCCAAUCUGGUCCCCAAUAUGGGAGAUAAGAGGGAAACGGGAUUGAGCCCACCAUCUAGUGCAUAGCCAGUGUAAUCCCAGAGUUCAAAUCCCACCACACUGCCAAAUUAGGGUCCUGGGAGCCAUCAGGGAACACAGGAUUUAUAUGAUCCCUUUGGGGCAGACUCCCAGCAUAGGUGUCCUACCUGGGCAUGGAUCCAUCCCAGUGAUGGGAGUGAAAGCAGGAGGCACAUCCCCAUUUCAGUCAUCCUCCUCAAGGGGUACUUGCAUGCUCUUUUAGAGCAGCUGUUUGGGAUCAGUUUUCAGAAUUGCUGCUUCUAGCCUUUCCCUAAUAUUUCUUGUCCUACAAGAAAAAUCACUGCAUUUUACCAUUAGCUGACUGCAAAGUAAACCAGAAUGUUCUCUCUCCUAAGGAAAUAGUAUUUUCAGUGCUCUCAGACAGGAAACCUGAUAUUUUGGGUUUCUGCUUUUAUUAUAUCUGCAUGUUAACAUAUUAUGAGUAUCUACUUAUUAUCAGAAGUAGAAAAUUACUUUAUUUCUAUCUUCUGCUGAAGCAUAAAAGACAUCAGAUGAAAUUUUCACUACGUGUAAAUGCAAGAAAAAACUACAGGACACCUCUUAAGAUGCUUUAUUUUAAGUACUUUAUGAUUCCUGGGACCUGUGAAACACAAAUAAAUGCAUCUGUACUCUGAAGCCCUCA
ensembl:lncRNA